ACACUAACAAAUAUUAGUUUAAAAAAAAAUAAAUUAAACCCUAAUUGAAUUACAGGUUUUACAGAUGCAGAAGGUAGUUUUAUAGUGAAAAUAUUUAAAGAUACUGGUUAUAAGUUAGGAUGAAGAAUUCAACUUUCAUUUCAAAUAAAAUUAAACAGUAGAGAUCAUUACUUAUUAACUCUUAUUAGAGAUUAUUUUGGCGUAGGUACGGUACGUAAAGAUAAAAAUAAUAAUUCAGUAUAUUCUGUGACAAAAGUUGAGGAACUGACUUCAGUCAUUUUCCCUCAUUUUGAUAGAUAUCCUUUAUUAACUAAAAAAUGAGCUGAUUAUCAAUUAUUUAGAGCUAUUGUUUUUAUUAUUACGGAUAAAAAACAUAAAACUGAAGAAGGAUUUUUAAAAAUAUUAGGACUUAGAUAUAAUCUUAAUUGGGGUAUUUCUGAAGAGUUAAAAUUGGCCUUUCCUAAUAUUACACCUGUGGAUAGACCCCCCGUUCCCUUUAUUAAUAUAAAUAAAGAUUGAUUGGUGGGAUUUAUCGAUGGAGAAGGUUGCUUUUAUAUUAACGUGAUAAAAUCUAAUACUAACUUUAAAGUAUGAUUGUUAUUCCAAAUAACUCAGCAUAACAGAGAUUUUGAUUUAAUAGAAAAGAUUGCUCUUUAUUUAAAUUGUGGUUCUGUUAAACAAAGAGGGAAAGACCUAGACGCUGUUGAUUUUGAAGUUACAAAAUUUGAAUUAAUUAAUACUCAGAUUAUUCCUUUUUUGUUAGCAAACCCUUUAAAAAGCAGUAAAUCAUACGAUUUUUCUUCAUUUUAUGAAGCAGCUCAAAUAAUUAAUAAUAAAAAUACUCGUCAAUGAGAAAGUAAUGAUAUCGAAAAUUUAUUAAAUAUUAAAGAUAAAAUGAAUAAAUAUUUA
rnacentral:misc_RNA from 1 species